rnacentral:tRNA from 1 species
GGAGAGGAUGUAGCUCAGUGGUAGAGUGUAUGCCUAGCAUGCAUGAGGUCCUGGGUUCAAUCCCCAGUAUCUCCA